UACGUAGGGUGCGAGCGUUAAUCGGAAUUACUGGGCGUAAAGCGUGCGCAGGCGGCUUUGCAAGACAGAUGUGAAAUCCCCGGGCUCAACCUGGGAACUGCAUUUGUGACUGCAAGGCUAGAGUACGGCAGAGGGGGAUGGAAUUCCGCGUGUAGCAGUGAAAUGCGUAGAUAUGCGGAGGAACACCAAUGGCGAAGGCAAUCCCCUGGGCCUGUACUAACGCUCAUGCACGAAAGCGUGGGGAGCAAACAGG
rnacentral:rRNA from 1 species